GAUAAAUUAAUUAUAGGCCAUUACUUUUGUAUCGUUUAUUGCAUUUAUGGAGGGAGAGGUGUAUGCUGGGUAAUGGCACAGCUAGCGACACGGUGACUUUAUUCACCCGCUUCGGCUGUUAUCAGUCCAUACAAUGGGCGUUAUUAGCAGAAAUCAGUCCCAUAGAUAUGGGCCAUCUCCACCUGCUAGAUUGUUCAGAAGGUUGUUAUCAUCCAUCCAGAUGGAGGAUCAGUAACAGGAACGUGGGAAGACUCCAGGAUCCACUCUGGCUGGAAUCCGGUGGAUACAGCAGUGUUACAGAACAGUUCUCCACAGUCACUGUCCACAUGGGUCAGUGGGACCAAGAAGCACUCUGCUAAUGUGAGACUCUGACCAGCAACAUCCAGCAAGACCCAGGCAGUGUUUUCUAUCUCCCAGCUGGAGUUUUUUUGUUUGUCUGUGACUGGAGAGUCAGAUUUUUGUUGAGGCUGGAGGAACAGCCUCACACUUGCAGAGGUUAAUACACGCUACUGAUCCCUGAUGGGAGAAUCAUCACCUCUGCCAACAAAGAAGCCUGGUGGAUGUUUGUUUACAGUCUGAUGAUGGGACAUCAUGCUCUGCAUCUUCAAAGUUUGUCUCUUGAUUAUUAUUCAUACACAGUAAUGUGAAGCAUGCUCAUAUCUAGUAUAACUGGACCAACCUGGUGCUCUUCAUUUAUGGAGGCUGUUGAGUCUGAAUGUUGGAUGUUGUGUAUCUCGUGUUCUCUGGGCUUUGUUGUCCUCAGUCUUUUUGCAGGAUCAGAAAACAAAACCAGGAGGCCUGUAAAUGUUUCUUCUCCAAUUGGAUGAUGAUAAGACUGUGACACGGGAUGCCACCUUUAGUCUUGUGAUGAAGCAAAGCUCAGGAAGAAGUGUGAUUAAAUGGUACCCACAUGUGUGCUGCUGAGAAGGAUGUACAGGGGCACCUGCAGCCAAAUCCAAGCCUCCUCAGCAACUUCAAGUCUGUCAGCGUGCUGAGGUCACAGAAACAAGAAAAGCAGCUUCAGACUUCAGAGUGUUGUUUACAGUUUUCUGUCAUCAUGAUCUCCCCUGAAGUUUAUCACUAUUAUACAAGCAAUGGUGACGGUGUGGAGAGACGGUGGUGUUUCCUCAGAAGAACCAGCAGAGUCACAAAGGGCACGAGUCCAUCUCACCACCUUGACUUACUGACAGAUGUUCGUCUGCACUGCACAGAGGAAAUCAACUAACCGAGGAGUGUUUCUGAGUGAGGGAGAGAGGAGUCAUCAUCCAGGUAAAGUGACAUGGAUCAGUGGAUACACUUGUCUCCCCUUUAAAGGAGACGAUCCGAGUCAUCCUUAAAUAUGGGCAGGAUAUCAGUCUUGGACUGUCUAACCUGCCGGAGCAGCACUGAAUGAUCACCACACAUGAGCAUGUUCCUGCAACAUUCAGCAUCUGAUCUGCCAUCUGUGUGCUUCUGCUUUUGAUAAGUAGAGCUAUCUAACUACAGUAACUCUAAACACAUGCCAUCCAUUUCUAACGGCCUGGUUACUUCCUGUCAGUUAUUUUAGAAACCAUGUGGUCACCUGACCUAACACUGUUUCUUCUUCUUCCCCUUAAUGUUGAAGUGUCAAAUGUCAACCAGCUGGAGAGGAAACUACACCAGUGUACUGGGAUGUUUCAGCAACACGUGCCAGAUGCUGUUCCUUCAUGGUUUCAUCACCAGAGACAGCCCCGCCCACCUCAGGACCUCGCCAUUGAUCAUGAUGAUUAUAAUAAUGACAGCGAGCGGAACUAAGACUGUAAAAAUCCACGACCAGAAUGUUUAGAUGCUUUCUAAUUAUUAAUGAAUACUGAGAGCCUCUUUCUGUGUUUUGUCUGUUUUGUUUUGGUUUUUUUACCUCAUUUGUUACUAACAAAGUUCACCAAACUCACACAGUUUACAUUCUGUAUGUUUCCAUCUUUACCAGCCACACUCUUAACUGCAAUUAAGCAAAUAAUCCUUAGAAAUCGUCGUUUUUCUCUUUUGUAAUUGAUGAUAAUUCAGUGAAUAUACUGCGCUGCUUCCUUUUAUUGCGUCACACAUUGCUUUAAGUUUUUCAGUGUCCAGUUAUUUUUUUACUGCUGUUUGAAUUCUCUGUAUGUUUGACCCUGUAGACUGUUUAAUGGACUGCUUGUCUUCCUGUUUGUAACCACUGCCUGUUUUUGACUAAAGAUUUGGAUUUCUG
ensembl:lncRNA